GUAGGAUGCAAGCGUUAUCCGGAUUUAUUGGGCGUAAAGGGGGUGUAGGCGGCUUGAUAAGUCGGUUGUAAAAUCUCCUGGCUUAACUAGGAGGGACCAACCGAUACUGUUAGGCUAGAGUGCAGCAGGGGAAGGUGGAAUUCCCGGUGUAGUGGUGAAAUGCGUAGAUAUCGGGAGGAACACCAGUGGCGAAGGCGGCCUUCCAGGCUGUUACUGACGCUGAGGCCCGAAAGCGUGGGGAGCAAACAGGAUCACGAUACCCUGGUACGUCCACGCUGUAAACGAUGGAAAUCUAGGUAUGGGGAGUAUCGACCCUUUACCGUGCCGAACGCUAACGCUUUAAGUUUCCCGCCUGGGGACUAGCGGUCGCAAGACUA
rnacentral:rRNA from 1 species